rnacentral:rRNA from 1 species
GACGUAGGGCGCGAGCGUUGUCCGGAUUUAUUGGGCGUAAAGAGCUCGUAGGCGGCUUGUCGCGUCGUCCGUGAAAACUUGGGGCUCAACCCCAAGCUUGCGGUCGAUACGGGCAGGCUAGAGUUCGGUAGGGGAGAGUGGAAUUCCUGGUGUAGCGGUGAAAUGCGCAGAUAUCAGGAGGAACACCGGUGGCGAAGGCGGGUCUCUGGGCCGAUACUGACGCUGAGGAGCGAAAGCGUGGGGAGCGAACAGG